AUGCACCACCAUCCCCGGCUAAUUUUUUCUAUAUGUAUUUUUAGUUGGCCAGAUAAUUUUUUUCUAUUUUAAUGAUGUGUAAUUCUUUAAAGGCAUUGCAUGGGCCAAACAGACUAGAUUUCCUGCAACCCAGGAAAGGACGAAGUCCGUCUCUACUUUAGGACAGUUACCAAUAGCCGUUCCAGCUUGAAAGCUUUUGGUUUCACCUAUCUUCCUGCUCUCAGAGGUGGCAGAGUAUAGGUUGUGGGAAAACAAGACUGAGGAGGAAAAGUCCAUCCUGGGACUGAAGUCCUGUGCCUGGCCCUGCCCGGGAGCUGCACAUGCAGGAGUGAGGUGACUAGGAAGUCGGAAGGAGCCACAGUAGGUCCAAGAGGGGUGGGUCCUUCCUGUGUAUCCCACUUGGGACUCUGGGCAUCUUGCAUCUGUGUCUUUGUGUGUUUUCAUCAGUUCUAAGAAUUAUCUGCCAUUAUCUCUUCAAAUAAUGCUUCCGUUUUCAUUUUUUUUCUCCUCUCUUUCUGGAACUCUGAUUAACUUAUGUUAGACCUUCCAUCUCUCAUAUUUUCUUUUUUUAAAAUGCCCCUUCCCACCCCGUCUCUCGUAUAUUUUCUGUCUUCAUUUCUUUUUUGUUUCUGUGACAGAUUUAUGGGUAUCUUUUGACCUUUUUUCCAAUUCACUAAUUUUCUCUUUGGCUAUGUCUGCUCUGCUGUUAUAAACUUGUGUGUUUGUUUUUGUGUGUUUACGUGGAUUUUUACUGGAGAAUAUGAUUUAUUCUUGUUCCCAACUAGUGUUUAAAAAUAAUCUUAGUAUUGUAUUUUUUGUUUCACUUUUACUUAGUUUUUUAUUAGUUAGGUCAGAUUUUAUAGUUUCUUAUUCCCUUUAGAUGUUUUCAGACUAGUUGUUUGUUUCUAUAAACAGAACAUACAGUUGUACCUUGGUGUGCACAGGGGAUUGAUUCCAGGAACACCCACCACCCCCUGGGAUACCAAAAUCCAUGGGCACUGAAUUGGUGGAAUCUGUGGAUGUGGAAGUCAUGGACACAGGAGCCCGACUACAUGUAUUUAAUCUGUGUCUGGUAACUCUGAAGACCUUGCAGGUCUGUCUCUGCUAUCAUUCCCUCAUAGUUUAUUGUUUCCUUCUGUGUUUGAUUA